rnacentral:tRNA from 1 species
GGGAAUAUGUCAGUGGUAAGAGUACAUGCUUAGCAUGCAUGAGGUUCUGGGUUCAACCCCCAGUAUCUUUA